rnacentral:rRNA from 1 species
GUGAACGCUGGCGGCAGGCCUAACACCUGCAAGUCGAGCGGCAGCGCGGGGGCAACCCUGGCGGCGAGCGGCGGACGGGUGAGGAAUUCGUCGGAAUCUGCCUUUUUGUGGGGGAUAACGUAGGGAAACUUACGCUAAUACCGCAUACGUCCUACGGGAGAAAGUGGGGGACCGCAAGGCCUCACGCAGAAAGAUGAGCCGACGACCGAUUAGCUAGUUGGUGGGGUAAAGGCCCACCAAGGCGACGAUCGGUAGCUGGUCUGAGAGGAUGAUCAGCCACACUGGGACUGAGACACGGCCCAGACUCCUACGGGAGGCAGCAGUGGGGAAUAUUGGACAAUGGGCGCAAGCCUGAUCCAGCCAUGCCGCGUGUGUGAAGAAGGCCUUCGGGUUGUAAAGCACUUUUGUCCGGAAAGAAAUCCCUGGAGCUAAUACCUUCGGGGGAUGACGGUACCGGAAGAAUAAGCACCGGCUAACUUCGUG